GAUGGACCCGCGGCGCAUUAGCUAGUUGGUGGGGUAAUGGCUCACCAAGGCGACGAUGCGUAGCCGACCUGAGAGGGUGAUCGGCCACACUGGGAUUGAGACACGGCCCAGACUCCUACGGGAGGCAGCAGUAGGGAAUCUUCCGCAAUGGACGAAAGUCUGACGGAGCAACGCCGCGUGAGUGAUGACGGUUUUCGGAUCGUAAAGCUCUGUUGUUAGGGAAGAACAAGUGCGAGAGUAACUGCUCGCACCUUGACGGUACCUAACCAGAAAGCCACGGCUAACUACGUGCCAGCAGCCGCGGUAAUACGUAGGUGGCAAGCGUUGUCCGGAAUUAUUGGGCGUAAAGGGCUCGCAGGCGGUUUCUUAAGUCUGAUGUGAAAGCCCCCGGCUCAACCGGGGAGGGUCAUUGGAAACUGGGAAACUUGAGUGCAGAAGAGGAGAGUGGAAUUCCACGUGUAGCGGUGAAAUGCGUAGAGAUGUGGAGGAACACCAGUGGCGAAGGCGACUCUCUGGUCUGUAACUGACGCUGAGGAGCGAAAGCGUGGGGAGCGAACAGGAUUAGAUACCCUGGUAGUCCACGCCGUAAACGAUGAGUGCUAAGUGUUAGGGGGUUUCCGCCCCUUAGUGCUGCAGCUAACGCAUUAAGCACUCCGCCUGGGGAGUACGGUCGCAAGACUGAAACUCAAAGGAAUUGACGGGGGCCCGCACAAGCGGUGGAGCAUGUGGUUUAAUUCGAAGCAACGCGAAGAACCUUACCAGGUCUUGACAUCCUCUGACAACCCUAGAGAUAGGGCUUUCCCUUCGGGGACAGAGUGACAGGUGGUGCAUGGUUGUCGUCAGCUCGUGUCGUGAGAUGUUGGGUUAAGUCCCGCAACGAGCGCAACCCUUGAUCUUAGUUGCCAGCAUUCAGUUGGGCACUCUAAGGUGACUGCCGGUGACAAACCGGAGGAAGGUGGGGAUGACGUCAAAUCAUCAUGCCCCUUAUGACCUGGGCUACACACGUGCUACAAUGGACAGAACAAAGGGCUGCAAGACCGCAAGGUUUAGCCAAUCCCAUAAAUCUGUUCUCAGUUCGGAUCGCAGUCUGCAACUCGACUGCGUGAAGCUGGAAUCGCUAGUAAUCGCGGAUCAGCAUGCCGCGGUGAAUACGUUCCCGG
rnacentral:rRNA from 1 species